UCUUAUUUACUAAGCCCUUCCCAUGGGCCAGACCCUGGACCCUGUGUUUUUACCUGCACUACCUCAUUCUGAGCUUACAAUAACCUUGUGAGGGAGGAACUUUGGCCCCUGUUUUUCAGAGGAGGAAACUGUGGCUUAAAAUAUCUGGGUCGUUCGCCUGAAGUCACACAGCUGGUAAAUGACAGAGGGAGGAUUCAAAUCUCGCUCUUCCUUCAGAGUGGUUUGUGACGAUACCUGGUGUUCCCUAGGUGCUGAAUAAGUGUUUGUUUUGCCCCCUUUCUGCCCACAUGCUAAUCCAAGCAGGUGUAGGGAAGAGCUGAUUUGGGGGGAGGGGGUCCUGGCACCCAACACUUCCUGGAGGGGCCAGAACGCCACCUUGUCACAGAACAUUAGUCACAUCAGAACAUUAAUCACUUGCACACAGUGCUUUUGAGCUGACAAGGUUCUUUCCCACACCUUAUCUCCUGGUCUAAGGGAGCCUAGUGCACUGAUACCUAAAGAUCCUUCAGGCUGCUGGGAAAGAGAUCAGGCUGCUGGGAAAGAGAUCGGCAGGCAAGUCAUCCUAUGUGAUAAGCCUCAGAGAGGCAAAGUCCCCCUCCCCAUGGACAUACAUAGGUACACACAGUGCACGGCCACUGUUCUGGUGGGAGGGAUAGCUCGCUCAGCUGGGCAUCUGGGCGGCCGGUAGGGCUGUUGGGGUGUUGCAACCCUCCCUGGGACAGCCAGCUGAGCCGAGCCUGUAGCUGAGAAGUGUUACCCUCUAGACCUGAUAACCUAUUGUGCUCCUGAAGGUCUCCUCCUCCUGAAAGGACUUUAGUCUUUGGAGCUGUCAGAUGAACCGAGUGAGAUAAGAGCUUGGCAGGCUGUGAAGGAAGGGAGGGAACACUCCAUAGCCGCCUACUGCCCGGUCGAGACUCACACCAUGGAGCCAAGGGCGGCCCGAUCGCGGAAGGGAGAAGGGCCGAGAGGAGAGCAAGAGCGCCGACGCUCCGGAGGUGGAAACAUUGAGAAGGACAGAGGCCUGGACUUGGUGCAAUGGACCCGACAUAUGGAGGCUGUGAAGACACAGUUGCUGGAGCAAGCACAGGGACAGCUGAUAGAGCUGCUGGAUCGGGCCGUGCAGGAAGCCAUCCAAUGCUACCCACAACAAGGCGGACCCCUGUCCUCCAUUCCUCCAGAUUCCUUGAGCAAGGCCCGGGAGCCAUCCCUGGGGAAGCGGAAAAUUUUCAUCAUCCGAAAGUCCCUGCUUGACGAGCUGAUGGAAGUACAGCAUUUCCGCACCAUCUACCACAUGUUCAUCGCCGGCUUGUGCGUCUUCAUCAUCAGCACCCUGGCCAUCGACUUCAUUGAUGAGGGCAGGCUGAUGCUGGAGUUUGACCUACUGAUCUUCAGCUUUGGACAGCUGCCCUUGGCGCUGAUGACGUGGGUCCCCAUGUUCCUGUCCACUCUGCUGGUGCCCUACCAGGCCCUGAGGCUGUGGGCGAGGCCCCGGGCAAGAGGGGCCUGGAUGCUGGGGGUGGGCCUGGGCUGCAUGAUGCUGGCUGUCCACACCACCGUGCUCUGGGUCCUCCCCGUCCACGUGGCAUUGAAGUAUCAGCUCCCGCCUGCCUCCCGCUGUAUCCUGGUCUUUGAGCAGGUCAGGCUCCUGAUGAAGAGCUACUCCUUCUUGAGAGAGGCUGUGCCUGGAACCCUUUGUGCCAGAGGAGGUGAGGGCAUGCGGGCCCCCAGUUUCUCCAGCUACCUCUACUUCCUCUUCUGCCCAACACUAAUCUACAGGGAGACUUACCCCAGGACACCCAACGUCAGGUGGAAUUACGUGGCCAAGAACUUUGCCCAGGCUCUGGGCUGCGUACUCUAUGCCUGCUUCAUCCUGGGCCGCCUCUGCGUUCCCGUCUUUGCCAACAUGAGCCGGGAGCCCUUCAGUACCCGGGCUCUGGUGCUGUCUAUCAUGCACGCCACCUUGCCAGGUAUGCCCACCGAAGGCAGGGCUGGGGAGGGCUGCACCCUGGGAAGGCUUAGCGGGGGGCUCCUCCCUCCCCUCACUCCUUUCCUUCAGCCAGAUUCAACACCUCCUGCCUCAGAAACCUCUCCCACAUGUGUCCCUCGCCUCCUCAUUGCUCCAUUGCUAGGGUCUCAGUUCAUUCAGAUGGCCACUCCACUGCCUCUUUCCACAUCAGCCUCCUCGCCUGCCUGCUUUCCCUCUCAAUCUUCCCACCUUCCCCUGACACUGCUGCCCAGAUGAACUUCCCUCCUACAGGUUAAUCAUUCCCUACUCUGCUUCCAAAACUCCAGUCACUCCCCAUUGCUGGCAUCUCCAGAUAAGAUUUGACCCCUUGGCCUGGCAUUCAAGACCCCUUCCCCGACAGCCUAGCCUAUCUUCUCGUCCUGCCACAAGCUCAGCCAUUCCUUGAAAGACAUGUACUUUCAUGCCUCCGGGCUUUUGCUCAUACUGGGGUCUCAGCUUGGAAUGACCUUUCCCCAUUUUCCAGCUGUGAACUCCAGUCUGUUUCUGGAGGCCCAUAACAAAGAUGCCCCCUCCUCUAGGAAGCCUGUCAGUUUUAGCCAUCAGUCACUAUGACCCACCCCUUGCUCUGCAUUCCCAAGCACCUCAAUAGCCACCCGUGCUUAGCUCCCAGCACAUUUGACCUUGACGCAUGGUUGGACUUGUCUCUGUCCCGAUCUCUGCCUCUGUCUCUCUCUCUCUUUCUCUCUCUCCAACCACUCUGUGAACUGCCAAUGGCCAGGGCUUUGAGAUUCAUCUGUGCAUCCCCGACAUGUGGCUUGGAGUUCAUGAGCAGAUGGAUGGAUUAAUGAAUGCAUCUUCAUGCUGCUGCUCAUCUUCUUUGCCUUCCUCCACUGCUGGCUCAACGCCUUCGCAGAGAUGCUACGGACUGGUGGAAUUCAACGUCCUU